GCUUACGACCACAACGGCCUGAGUACGCCUGAUCUCAUCUGAUCUCGGACGCUAAGCAGGGUCGGGCCUGGUUAGUACUUGGAUGGGAGACCGCCUGGGAAUAUCAGGUGCUGUUAGCU
ensembl:rRNA 5S_rRNA 5S ribosomal RNA